rnacentral:rRNA from 1 species
AACGAACGCUGGCGGCAUGCCUAACACAUGUAAGUCGAACGAGACCUUCGGGUCUAGUGGCGCACUGGUGCGUAACGCGUGGGAACCUGCCCUUAGGUUCGGAAUAACUCCCCGAAAGGGGUGCUAAUACCGGAUAAUGUCUUCGGACCAAAGAUUUAUCGCCUUUGGAUGGGCCCGCGUUGGAUUAGCUAGUUGGUAGGGUAAAAGCCUACCAAGGCGACGAUCCAUAGCUGGGCUGAGAGGAUGAUCAGCCACACUGGGACUGAGACACGGCCCAGACUCCUACGGGAGGCAGCAGUGGGGAAUAUUGGACAAUGGGUGAAAGCCUGAUCCAGCAAUGCCGCGUGAGUGAUGAAGGCCUUAGGGUUGUAAAGCUCUUUUACCCGGGAUGAUAAUGACAGUACCGGGAGAAUAAGCUCCGGCUAACUCCGUG